rnacentral:rRNA from 1 species
AGAGUUUGAUCCUGGCUCAGAACGAACGCUGGCGGCGUGGAUAAGACAUGCAAGUCGAACGCUAAUUUCAGGGUAGCAAUAUUCUGAGGUUGGAGUGGCGCAAGGGUGCGUAACACGUGGGUAAUUUGCCGUGAAGUUGGGGAUAACUCGCUGAAAGGCGAGCUAAUACCGAAUGUGAAAAUUGGGAGGCAUCUUCUGAUUUUUAAAGUUGGGGACCGCAAGGCCUGACGCUUCUCGAUAAGCCCGCGGCCUAUCAGCUAGUUGGUGAGGUAACGGCUCACCAAGGCUAAGACGGGUAGCUGGUCUGAGAGGACGACCAGUCACACUGGAACUGAGACACGGUCCAGACACCUACGGGUGGCAGCAGUCGAGAAUUUUUCUCAAUGGGCGAAAGCCUGAAGGAGCGACGCCGCGUGGGGGAUGAAGGGCUUCGGCUCGUAAACCCCUGUCAUUUGCGAACAAACCUUAUGGUUUAAUAGAUCAUGAGCUGAUUGUAGCGAAAGAGGAAGGGACGGCUAACUCUGUGCCAGCAGCCGCGGUAAUACAGAGGUCCCAAGCGUUGUUCGGAUUCACUGGGCGUAAAGGGUGCGUAGGUGGCGGGGUAAGUUUGAUGUGAAAUCUCCGAGCUUAACUCGGAAACUGCAUUGAAUACUAUUCUGCUCGAGGGUUGGAGGGGGGACUGGAAUACUUGGUGUAGCAGUGAAAUGCGUAGAUAUCAAGUGGAACACCAGUGGCGAAGGCGAGUCCCUGGACAACUCCUGACACUGAGGCACGAAAGCUAGGGGAGCAAACAGGAUUAGAUACCCUAGUAGUCC